CCGAAUGGUAUCUUGCAUGGAGUAACUGCUUUGGUUGCAGCAUUGCUAGCAGUUGCUUUGGCACGAGCAAAAAAACUUCCUGAGAAAGGUGUGAAAGUUGUCGGAGCAUUAUCAGGAUGGACAACAACCCUCCUCUUUAUGUGGAUGCCGGUUUCGCAAAUGUGGACUAAUUAUCUGAAUCCUGAGAACAUUAAAGGCUUAUCAGCUCUCACAAUGCUUCUUGCCCUGAUUGGAAAUAGUCUUGUGCUUCCACGAGCGUUAUUCAUUCGAGACUUCAUGUGGUAAAGCUAUUACCUGCCCGAUCAAAACUUUCAUGUCUGUUUUCUGAUCAUUAUUUUGUUUCCAAUCAACUUGAAUGUCACAAUAGGUAGGAUGUUAAAAUUAUGAUGUGUUUAGGAUGGCUUUGAGAAGCACGGGCAAAUCUCCUUGAGAAGCUUCCAAACUACAUCCAUAUUUUGUUACAA